rnacentral:rRNA from 1 species
UACGAAGGGGGCUAGCGUUGCUCGGAAUCACUGGGCGUAAAGCGCACGUAGGCGGCUUUCUAAGUCAGGGGUGAAAUCCUGGAGCUCAACUCCAGAACUGCCUUUGAUACUGGAGAGCUUGAGUCCGGAAGAGGUGAGUGGAACUCCGAGUGUAGAGGUGAAAUUCGUAGAGUAUUCGGAAGAACACCAGUGGCGAAGGCGGCUCACUGGUCCGGUACUGACGCUGAUGUGCGAAAGCGUGGGGAGCAAACAGG